rnacentral:snRNA from 13 species
AUACACACCGGGGUGAUCACGGACGCCCUGGCCCCAGGUGGAGACUGACCCUUGCACGCUGGAGCGAUUAAAGCCUGCGACGAUCCCUAAUCGGGCUCGCUCGGGUGCGUAAUUUUUGCCAGUGGAAAAGUCUUCGGACCAUCCCUU